GCAUGGUGGACGUUCCAGAAGCACUCUGCGACUUUGGCUCCAGCGUCAACUUUAUACCCAGGGUACUCUAUGAAAAAUUCUUUACAUAUCCUUUAUUAGAAACAACCAUGUGUUUGUAGUUUGCAGAUCAGACGAUAACUUUUCCAAAAGGAAUAGUGAAGAACCUUUGUGUCCGAGUUGGUACCUUAUAUGCCCAAGCAGACUUCGUAGUGGUAGAGACCGGAAAUGAUGAGAGAGCACCCAUCAUCUUAGGGAGGCCAUUCUUGAACACCACGGGAGCUAUCAUCUAUGCUAGUGCUGCCAAGAUUAGUUUCUACGUCAAAGGGAAGAAGGAGACAUUUUUCUUCAAGAACAAGACUACAUAAAUUCCAGAUCAAUCCAGACGUCAAUCAAGGAAGAGGACCAACAGGAGGAACAGGAACAAGCAAGUAUGGACCGAAUCAGCUAAGAUGGUCACUGUAGUUCAUGGAGGCCAAGAUCACCAACUUAAGUCACCGCUUUUGACCAAGAAGGACGACCCAGGAAUGCCAAGCUUCUACUGCUCCAUAAAUGGAUACAACUUCUACAAGGCAACUUGUGACACCGGAUCGGGCGUCAACAUAAUGGCCGCAGUCACCUAUCAGCUCUUGUUUGGAACCAUGCCCCUAAGACCAACAUACAUUCAACUCCAGAUGGCAGAUCAGACAUUUCGAGAAGUUAAAGGAACAGUAACUGAUGUCCCAGUCAAAAUAGACGAUCACUUUGUCUACACAGACUUUCAAGUUAUUAACAUGGGAGAAGAUGAGUACGAUCCACCCAUCAUCCUUGGAAGACCGUUCCUCAGCACCGUUAAAGCAAUUAUCUACAUUGGAACUGGAGAAGUCCAUAUGCACUUCCCCUCAGAGAAGGUACGCCGUAAUUUUACUGACCCUAACUAUAUCGUUGAAGAAUCUAAGCAGGUAAGGAAACGACGCAACCGCAACCAGAGGAGGCAGAUCAUCAAGGACGGAUGGGCAGACUACGAAGGAGAAGUUAUAAGGUCAGAAAACGUAGAGUUUAAACAGAAUUAUCUAGAGGAGACCGAAGCACCAAGUCAGGUGUGGAAAAAUGAAGAUAACUAUACAUGAAGAGGAGGCGCCACCGGAAGUACCGACUACGCCACCCAACGAACCUCAGGACGAUUGAAAAAAUGGAGAGUCCUGUUCGGAGGACUUAAAAACACCGAACGCCUUGCCGAGAGGUAAACUUGGUAGUAAUCCUUUCUCUUUUAAUUAUUUCAAAUAGUUUACUUAGUUAAUCAUGCUCGUACUAUCUUAAAAAGAAAAUAAAAAUACGAAAAACAGUAAGCCCCAUGUGAGUAUGCGAGUGGCAUAAAACCCAUAAGUACAUUCACUGUGGUGGCAUAAAAAUAAAAUAAAAAUUUCUUUUCUGCUUUAUAAAAUAAAAAUAUAAAAAUAGGGAGUAAUAAUUAUUAAGGAGUCUCAAGAUAAUAAAGGCUAGAUAUUUAUGCUAACACUUAAUCAGUUCCACAAGCUUUGUUGUCUAUUUGAGCCCCACAGAAUUUAAGAAUCAAGAAGACUAGCAGACGGAGGACAUUCUAAUCGCUGUCAGAAUGCUCCUGACUUUCAAAUACACCUCUGCCACCUGCUAGCUACAUCAAGAGAAAUUACGUCAAAAUUCAGCUUGGGGGAGAGCACCCCCAUUUAUCUCGAUAAGUAUUUCUUUCUAUCUAUCUUUAUACUUAUAUUAUAUUAGAAUAUUAAAAUACAUAAACUAUAAAAAACCAAAUAAAGAUUUUAAGCUUAUAUAUAUAUCUUUUGCUUAGUGUGUUUAAUAAAUAAAUAAAGUAGCGAUGCUAAUCUGUAUCUAAAUAAAACUUAAGCAUGGAAAUGAUGAAUAGUUGCUCUGCCUAAUUUGCACAUUUUAAGUUCUCUCUCAAGUUUAGAUAUAACUGUUAUAAUUUAAAGCUUGCUCUAGACCUAAACUUGUGGGAUGAAAACUUGAUCUGAAGUCUAAGUUGUUAACGGAUACGAUAUGAGAAGGUUGAGCUGCUGUUUAUCUGUUCCUAGAGAUGCUAGAAUUCUGGAGAAUUUUAUCUUUAAAAAUCUUUUAAAAUGUUGCAUGAUGAGUUCCUGUAUGAUGAGAGUUUAAAUUCCUACCACAGCCAUAUUUACAUGCUUGCUAGACUUUGAGCUACACAUUUACUAUUUACUGCUUAUGAGCAUUGAGUGUGGUCAAGCUGUGUAGACCCUUAGGAACUUGUCAUGUGGUUAAAUCAAGAUUCACUUGCACUUUCACUCAUAUAUGCUACUUCUACUCCAGAUGUGCCAUCCACAUAUAUCCACCCAUUCCAUCUCCAGAAUCACCCAAAAAUAUUCUACUCCUAAUCCGGGAGAGAAUAGCCAAAAAUAUUUCUGUUUUCCCUUGUGAAAUAAAUGCUCAAGUUAUCUUGUUACUACCACUUGCUAUAUUAUCUCAAGAGAUGAAUGCUCUAAAAAAAAGAGAGAGAAAUACGAGGAAAUAAAAAGGAGCAAGUGCUCGGAACCUCGAAAGAAAAAAGAGAGUGAGACGAGAGGUAAAAAUGGACAAGUGUCCGACAGUAGAAUUAGGGGUACAAGAUACCCACCUAAGAGAAAAGAAAAAGAAGAGCAUCUCAUUCUCCUCAUAAAGUUUCAAAAAAAAGCAAGAAAGGUAUGUAUCCCCUCAAAAGAGCAAAGUAGAAUUAGACUUCCACCACCAUUGUUAUCACCAUCAUCACCAUACAUCAUUCAUUUGCCACACAUGCACAUCUUGGUUAAACUCAUUGGCUUGUUUCUUUGGAUCCAUGGUUUGACUAUGCAAUACAUGUCUUGUAAGUAUGUAUACUUUAUCUCCCACCUAUGAGCUCCAGAUAUUAAAGCCUUAUUAGAGUAGGGUGAGAGAGAAGGCAAUGUCACUAUGCCUUAUACCACAAAUACCACAUAUCUUGAGAGAAGGCAUAUACCAUUACUGCCUUGGUAAGGAUCCAGAAAUACCACAAAAGAGAGAUAUGAAAGAAUCAUACAAGGAAUUUCUGAGUUUUAUUUGAAAAUCUGCAAAAAACCCCAGAGCUAUAGCUGAUCAAGAAUAAGAGACAUGGCACUUGGCUAGACUGUUCUAUCUUUUAACCACUCAAGACAGAAGUGACGGUUACAAGUCCCAUGGUGAAGGUAAAGUAAGUAAGUUUUAAGUCUUGAUAGUUUACUCUAACUCAGAGAUGAGAUCUUAUUUAAAAGCAUGUGUACCGUCAAAUUUUUUUAAAAAAAAUAUAUAUUGCAACAACUUAUGAUCCAUAGCUGAGUCUAUCCUUGCUCACGAGCAAGAGGUAAGCUUGGGGGAGUUUGUUGACGGUCCUUAAGUAUCAAAUUUAAUUAUCAAAUAAAUAAAGAAAAGGAUCCAAAUGAAAUCAACAUCUAGACUUAGGGUUUUAUGUGACAGAAUUCCACGAGUUUUGGUGUUUAUCUAUUUCUGCAGGGGGUUAUCAGGAAAUACGGAAGAAAGGCCCACACGUCGGGAUUACGUAAAGAUAUUAACGAGCCGCGCAAUUAUCUUACAUCUAGAAGACUCCAGAAGCCACGAGACCGAAGCGGAGGCGAAACGGGGCCAGAGGCAGGGCGCCCGCCCUGAUCCCCUGGGCGCCCGCCCCCUCUAGGAGUCCAAUCAGGACUCUGCUUUGCGGGAGAUUUCCACCGACCUAAAGGAUGAAUCUAAACCAUACAAUCUAUGUCAGUUUGAUCCAACGGCCCAUAUUCACUUGAAGGGACUAUAAAACCAGACACCCUGGCCCCUGGAGGAGAGAGCCUCUCAACCCUAAUUCAUUGUUCCAUCAAGGGAGAAGAAGCCUCUGAUCAAGAUUAGAGCCACCACAUCAAUUAGAUAUCUAGAUUAGCAUAGCUACAUAGGAUUAGAACUAGAAGGAGUCAAUCUUCGAUUGGUUUCCGGAUCUGUCAGGAGGAUUCUUGGUAAUUCUCUAAUUGUGCUUCUAAUUGCUUUCUAAUUAUCUUUGUUCUUCAAUAUUAUGAAUAUGACUUUGUUCUACUUCAAUAUAUUGCUUAUGACUUUGCUCUACUUGCUUAUAUUCAAGAUUAUAUUGUUCUUAGUUUAUCAUAGUUAUGUACUUAGCUUAGUUAGAUUCGAUCUAUAUACAUGCUUAGGAUCGUAUAGCGUUUAUCCAUCGGAUCCAUGGGUAAAUGAUAGAUAUUGUGUAGGUGUGGCGCUUAUACCGUAUUUAUCUGCGAUUGUACCCAAUAUGCCAGAACGUGGGGUAGUUCGUGAUAGUGACAGCUUCAUUGAUUCUUAUAUAGUCCCCCUCUCGUGUAUUGGGCUGGCAGAGCAACAUUAUUACAGGGGAGUGAUUGCUAUGUUUCUCAUAUUCCUUGCUAAUAUCACUAUGCAUGGGCGUAGUCUUGUCUCGCAAUGAUUGCUAAGUAUCCUUGCACUAAUUAUGAUAUGCUAGACUAUAUAGUUGAGAAUAACUUAGGGAAUAUUCUUGUAGUUCGUUCUAAUACCAUGCUAAUGACUUUCUAGAGUAUCUAAUUGAGGUGCUUAUCAUAUUUAUUAUGUGGCUAGAUCAGAUUAGUUAUCCUUGUCACUAUUAUUAUUUCAUAUAUCUUUUAUGUGACACUUAUCCCUGUAUGAUGAGUUAGAUAUAAUGUUCUCAAUUAUACAUGCAAUGAUAGAUGCUCAAUCUCAUAUUCUAUUCUGUAAUCAAUAUUGAUGAUUGCUAAUCCCUUCCAAGUGGUAAAAAUAUAAAUAACGAUACCUGGAAUACUUUCCAGCUAAAAUGCUGCAUCAGUAUUAAUCUGUGCGCUUGCAGAUCCCAUUCAUUAUUUAUUUAGAAGAGCAAUUGCAUAUUUCAAUACCGCGUCUCUUAUAUCAUGCUGGGGAUGACAACUUGGCUUAAGUGGUGUGAGGGAUAGGUUUGGCAUUUUUGGCACCGUCUACUUUUGGUAAUGAUGUUAAGAAUACCCAACAAGCAUUUUUGGCGCCGUUGCCGGGGAAGAUUGAUUACUAAUCAGGAAUGGAAUAAAAGAUUUUGAGUUAUCAUUCGCAUCACUAAUAUGAUUGAGCUUAUCUAUUCUCUCAUAUAGUUUUACCCCGAUAUUUUCCUAUUUUAUCUUAUGUAGGGGAAUGUAUGAAUAGAAGACAUCUUCCAGGAAAUUUUGUUGACAAUCCCGAAGCAUUAUUCAAGAAGACGAGAGCCAAGCUAAAGAAAUCAUCAACACUUCAGGAAGAAGCUUCAUCCAAUCAAGAAGAUCACCGGAACUUGUCUUCAGAGUUUGAAGCCAUGGCGAACAAAACAAUCCGCGAGUUCUCAGCUCCCACUACGGACAACAUCAGCACUGGACCUGCUGCAGAGAUCGAUGGCAACUUUGAGCUCAAGCCUGGACUUAUCAACAUGGUGCAAUCCAACCAGUUCUGUGGGAAGGCACACGAAGAUGCUAGUGCUCGUUUACAACACUUCCUGGAGAUUUGCAACACAUUCACCAUAUCAGGAGUUUCCAAAGAUGCUAUACUACUUCGCCUCUUCCCAUUCUCACUGUUAGGAAGAGCGAAGCAGUGGUUUUACGCUACAAAGGAGAAGAAUACUACGUGGGCACUCUGCUCAACAAACUUCCUGGCAAAGUUCUUUCCCAUGGGCAAGACCAAUGCUCUCCGUGGGAAGAUUACAAGUUUUCAGCAACAAAAUGAUGAAUCUGUUCCAGAAGCAUGGGAGCGCUUUCAAGACUACAUCCUAGAAUGUCCCCAUCAUGGAAUGGAGAGUUGGCUAUUGAUGUAGACAUUUUAUCAUGGGCUCGGCAACAGUGCCCGAGAAACCAUGGAUGCUGCGGCUGGAGGAGCAUUCCUAUCACUUACAAUACCACAAGCCACAGCUCUUGUGGAGAAGAUGGCGUCCAACCAAAGCUGGAAUGAAGAGAGGACCCAGACACGCAAGAGAGGUGGAGGUAUGCAUCAGCUGAAGGAGGUAGACAUGCUGUCUGCAAAGCUAGACCUGCUCAUAAAGAAGCUCGAUGAUAGAGCUGGAGAUAAGAAGGAAGUUAUGCACAUCUACGACUCUCACAUGACUUGUGAGGAGUGUGGAGACACUGGACACUCAGGCAAUCACUGCCCUGAGAUGCUUGAGGAUGUGAACUACAUCAACAACAACAACUACAACCGUCCUCAACAAAAUCAAGGUUGGAAUCAACAGAGGCCUAACUACUCAGGUAAUUAUCAUGGUAACAAUUCUUACAACAAUAAUAAUAAUUUUUCACCACUGAGAGAGUUAGUGUCUAAUCAAGGAAAGCUAAUGGAUAACCUAUCUAAGAAAUUGGCAUCUAAUGAUAAAAUGCUAGAAAAUAUAAAUAAUAGAAUGGAUAAUUUCUCUACUGCCAUCAAGAAUCAAAUUAGCUUUAAUAAAAUGAUUGAAUCUCAGUUAAAUCAAAUAGCUGUUGCUGUUCCUACUACUAACCUCGGUAUACCAUCACAACCGGAAGGAUUAGAAUCUGCAAAUCUUGUAGACACGUUUGAUGCAGGUAAUUGGAGUAACCCCGUCACUGAAUUCUCUACUGACCUUCUGCCGGUCAAGAGAGGCGAUCCAGGACGCCCCGUCAUCCCGAUCUCUAUCGGCAUGGUGGACGUUCCAGAAGCAAUCUGCGACUUUGGCUCCAGCGUCAACAUUAUACCCAGGGUACUCUAUGAAAAAUUCUUUACAUAUCCUUUAUUAGAAACAACCAUGUGUUUGCAGUUUGCAGAUCAGACGAUAACUUUUCCAAAAGGAAUAGUGAAGACCCUUUGUGUCCGAGUUGGUACCUUAUAUGCCCCAGCAGACUUCGUAGUGGUAGAGACCGGAAAUGAUGAGAGAGCACCCAUCAUCUUAGGGAGGCCAUUCUUGAACACCACGGGAGCUAUCAUCUACGCUAGUGCUGCCAAGAUCAGUUUCUACGUCAAAGGGAAGAAGGAGACAUUUUUCUUCAAGAACAAGACUACACAAAUUCCAGAUCAAUGCAGACGUCAAUCAAGGAAGAGGACCAACAGGAGGAACAGGAACAAGCAAGUAUGGACCGAAUCAGCUAAGAUGGUCAUUGUAGUUCAUGGAGGCCAAGAUCACCAACUUAAGUCACCGCUUUUGACCAAGAAGGACGACCCAGGAAUGCCAAGCAUCUACUGCUCCAUAAAUGGAUACAACUUCUACAAGGCAACUUGUGACACCGGAUCGGGCGUCAACAUAAUGGCUGCAGUCACCUAUCAGCUCUUGUUUGGAACCAUGCCCCUAAGACCAACAUACAUUCAACUCCAGAUGGCAGAUCAGACAUUUCGAGAAGUUAAAGGAACAGUAACUGAUGUCCCAGUCAAAAUAGACGAUCACUUUGUCUACACAGACUUUCAAGUUAUUGACAUGGGAGAAGAUGAGUACGAUCCACCCAUCAUCCUUGGAAGACCGUUCCUCAGCACCGUUAAAGCAAUUAUCUACAUUGGAACUGGAGAAGUCCAUAUGCACUUCCCCUCAGAGAAGGUACGCCGUUAUUUUACUGACCCUAACUAUAUCGUUGAAGAAUCUAAGCAGGUAAGGAAACGACGCAACCGCAACCAGAGGAGGCAGAUCAUCAAGGACGGAUGGGCAGACUACGAAGGAGAAGUUAUAAGGUCAGAAAACGUAGAGUUUAAACAGAAUUAUCCAGAGGAGACCGAAGCACCA
rnacentral:lncRNA from 1 species